GACGAACGCUGGCGGCGUGCUUAACACAUGCAAGUCGAGCGGUAAGGCCCUUUCGGGGGUACACGAGCGGCGAACGGGUGAGUAACACGUGGGUGACCUGCCCUCAGCUCUGGGAUAAGCCCGGGAAACUGGGUCUAAUACCGGAUAUGACUCCAUGACGCAUGUUGUGGGGUGGAAAGCCUUGUGCGGCUGAGGAUGGGCCCGCGGCCUAUCAGCUUGCUGGUGGGGUGANGGCCUACCAAGGCGACGACGGGUAGCCGGCCUGAGAGGGCGACCGGCCACACUGGGACUGAGAUACGGCCCAGACUCCUACGGGAGGCAGCAGUGGGGAAUCUUGCGCAAUGGGCGAAAGCCUGACGCAGCGACGCCGCGUGAGGGAUGACGGCCUCGGUGUAAC
rnacentral:rRNA from 1 species